AAGUGAGGUUUUUUUCUACAUUGCCUAUGGUAAACCCAGCAUGAGAGCCCAUGCAUUAGUUUUUUUUGCCAUUAUUAUAAUUGUAAAUAAUGUUAACGCUGGGUGGGAUGCUGAAUCAUCGAUCCGCGUUAAAAGGAAUCGGCGUUUGGGUUACGUUGGUGUCCCAACAAAACACCGGCUGUCACUUCGUUCUGUCAAGGAUGAAAUACGACAAAAUAUGGAAUAUAUGCACUCGUCUAUUCUGCAAUUUAAAAGUGAUGUCAAUAAAUUGAAGUCUUACAUACCCGAAAUACAAACGUUUGAACGGCUUUUGGCCGAUUGCGAAGCUAUGGAGAAACUUUGGUACUUACCAACAACCCCAACACCGUCAAUUGUAAAUGGACCGACGUAUCCUACAGAACCUCCAGGAUACAAAGUUAAGCACAUCAGGCACCACCAUAAAAACCACAGCAGUCACCACCGACACAACAGUCACCACCGACAUGAUCAUAAAGAACAUUCCAAGUAUCAAUACAGUCGGUCCUCUGAAGAUCAGACCAGAUAAAAAUUAAUAAUUUACCGUUCAAUCUCGCAGAAUAAUCAAUUGAACCAUGGCAAUCCAAAAAAACUUGUGGUUU